AAAGUACCCCUCCCUCUCGGGGNACUCGUGUACAAGGUGCUGGCAUGGCCUGUCGUCAGCUCGUGCCGUGAGAUGUUGGGUUAAGUCCCGCAACGAGCGCAACCCUACCAUUAGUUGCCACCAGNUAAUGCUGAGCACUCUAAUGGGACUGCCUACGNAANUAGUGAGGAAGGUGGGGAUAGAAGUNAAGUNCGNAUGGCCCUUACGCNUAGGGCUAAAAANGUGCUACAAUGGAUGCUACAAUGGGCUGCAAGACUGCG
rnacentral:rRNA from 1 species